rnacentral:rRNA from 1 species
GACGAACGCUGGCGGCGUGCUUAACACAUGCAAGUCGAACGGAAAGGCCCUGCUUUUGUGGGGUGCUCGAGUGGCGAACGGGUGAGUAAAACGUGAGUAACCUGCCCUUGACUUUGGGAUAACUUCAGGAAACUGGGGCUAAUACCCGAUAGGAUCUCCUGCUGCAUGGUGGGGGUUGGUAAGUUUCGGCGGUUGGGGAUGGACUCGCGGCUUAUCAGCUUGUUGGUGGGGUAGUGGCUUACCAAGGCUUUGACGGGUAGCCGGCCUGAGAGGGUGACCGGCCACAUUGGGACUGAGAUACGGCCCAGACUCCUACGGUAGGCAGCAGUGGGGAAUAUUGCACAAUGGGCGGAAGCCUGAUGCAGCAACGCCGCGUGCGUGAUGACGGCCUUCGGGUGGUAAACCGCUUUCGCCGGUGACGAAGCGUGAGUGACGGUAAUGGGUAAAGAAGCACCGGCUAACUACGUG